CCUACGGGGUGCAGCAGUGGGGGAUAUUGCACAAUGGGGGGAACCCUGAUGCAGCGACGCCGCGUGUGGGAAGACGGUCCUCUGGAUUGUAAACCACUGUCCCCAGGGACGAAAAUGACGGUACCUGGGGAGGAAGCUCCGGCUAACUACGUGCCAGCAGCCGCGGUAAUACGUAGGGAGCGAGCGUUGUCCGGAAUUACUGGGUGUAAAGGGAGCGUAGGCGGGGAUGCAAGUUGGGUGUCAAAACUACCGGCUCAACUGGUAGUCGCACUCAAAACUGCAGCUCUUGAGUGAAGUAGAGGCAGGCGGAAUGCCUGGUGUAGCGGUGAAAUGCGUAGAUAUUAGGAGGAACACCAGUGGCGAAGGCAGCCUGCUGGGCUUUUACUGACGCUGAGGCUCGAAAGUGUGGGGAGCAAACAGGAUUAGAUACCCCUGUAGUC
rnacentral:rRNA from 1 species